rnacentral:rRNA from 1 species
UGGGGAAUAUUGGACAAUGGAGGGAACUCUGAUCCAGCAAUUCUGUGUGUGUGAAGAAGGUUUUAGGACUGUAAAACACUUUUAGUAGGGAAGAAAAAAAUGACGGUACCUACAGAAGAAGCAACGGCUAAAUACGUGCCAGCAGCCGCGGUAAUACGUAUGGAGCAAGCGUUAUCCGGAUUCAUUGGGCGUAAAGCGCUCGUAGGCGGUCUGUUAGGUCGGCAAGUUAAAUCCGGGGGCUCAACCCCCGUCCGCUUCCGAUACCGGCAGACUUGAGUUUGGUAGGGGAAGGUGGAAUUCCUAGUGUAGCGGUGGAAUGCGCAGAUAUUAGGAAGAACACCGGUGGCGAAGGCGGCCUUCUGGGCCAUAACUGACGCUGAGGAGCGAAAGCUAGGGGAGCGAACAGG